CUCUAAACCUUUGCAUUCUCUCUCCAAGGCCGCACUCUCUUUCUCUAGAGCCAAACCCCUUUGCCCUUUCCCCCAAACCUCACGACCCAUCUCCGUCUACAAAUCCCCGAUGAACAACCUCUUCAACAGGCUCGGUUUCGGAUCUCGUCCCCAAGCUCAAGUCGACCCAACUUCCGCCGCAAUCGCCCAAGGACCCGACGACGAUGUUCCGUCGCCAGGUCAGCAAUUCGCGCAAUUCGGCGCCGGUUGCUUCUGGGGAGUGGAGCUAGCUUACCAGAGAGUUCCUGGUGUGACCAAGACCGAGGUUGGGUAUAGCCAUGGCCUCAUGCACAAUCCGAGUUACGAAGAUGUCUGUACUGGCACGACGGGACACAACGAGGUUGUUAGAGUUCAGUACGAUCCGAAAGAGUGUAGCUUUGAGACCUUGCUCGAUGUUUUCUGGAAUCGCCAUGAUCCAACCACCUUGAAUCGUCAGGUGAUUGCUUUAUCCAUAAAAAUCUAGACUUUAUCAGUAUCAGAUCUUCAUUUGAAUCAAUAGAGAGCUCUAUGUGUGUUCUGCAUUUGGGGGUGAAUUGUUUAUUGAUAACAAUGAAUAGAUUCACAUGUUUAGACGAACUCUCUAUCCCUUAGUCUGUGGGCUCUACAUACAUUUGGUAGUCUCAAGACAUUAAGUCAGGACAGUGACUAUUGGCUAAGUUGUUAUGUCCUUCAAGUUAGAAUCUCAAUCCUUGUUCAUAUGAGGAUUCUACAAUUUGACAAAUGCAAGACACUGAGUGAACGGAUUCCUUGGUUUGGUUUCAUGUUUGAUUAUGUGGAAGUGACAUUGCAUUUCCAUUUUUGUAUGCGAUCUUGUACUUGAGUCUGUUCUUGUUCAUGUUACUAGACCUACAUACA
rnacentral:lncRNA from 1 species